rnacentral:SRP_RNA from 1 species
UUCAGGUGGCAUGUGCCUGUAGUCUCAGCUAUUAGGGAGGCUGAGGUGGGUGAAUCAUUUGAGCCUAGGAGUUCUGGGCUGUAGUGCACUAUGCCAAUCGGUGUCUGCACUAAGUUUGGCAUCAAUAUGGUGACCUCCUGGGAGUGGGGGACCACCAGGUUGCCUAAGGAGGGGUGAACCAUCCCAGGUCAGAAAGAGAGGAGGUCAAAACUCCCGUGCUGAUCAGUGUGGAAUCUCGCCUGUGAAUAGCCACUGCACUCCAGCCCGGGCAGCAUAGCAAAACCCCGUCUCU